rnacentral:lncRNA from 1 species
GCCAAAGUUGGUGAAGAUGGAGAUGUUGUGACGACCAGGACAGUUCCUCCUAGCACACCAGACUCUGCUGUAUGUGGACGCCUGUCCACUAGCACUGGACAUUUACAACAUUUGGUGCCAGGGACCUCUUGCAGAGAAGAUUUUUCAAGGACACCCUCAGAAUUACAACAGAUUUUAAGGCUUGAAAUUAUUGUCCUGGAACUGCAGUUGUUGCUAACGGCGCGAUAUGAGAAACACCUCCACAUGUGCCCAGCGGAGAUGUUGUGCGUUUAUGCAAAAAUAUGUGAGUAAAUCAUAUCUUUCACUUAAUAUCUUAUGUCUUUUGUUAUGAGUGUCAGAUGUCGAAGGUAUAAUAAUGAUGUCUUCUAUGUGAUAGCGGAGAUAACGCUAAUCGUGUCAUCUAGCAGUUGCAAGUUGAACUGCACGUGUAGCUAACGUUAG